rnacentral:lncRNA from 10 species
CUUGCUCUGCUGCCCAGGCUGGAGUGCAAUGACGCGAUCACAGUUCACUGCAGCCUCGACCUCCCCAGGCUCAAAUGAUCCUCCCACCUCAGCCUCCUGGGUAGCUGGGACUACAGGUGUGUGCCACCACACCCAGGUAUUGUUUGUAUUUUUUGUAGAGAUAGGGUCUCACCAUGGAUGUUAGUAUAUUUUUAAAAACAAAAAUUAAAAAGAAGAAAUGUCCAACAGGCUUAUUUAAAAUGCAGUAUGUUUUAAGUGCUUACAUUUGACACAUUAAUGCUUUUAACUCACAACUUGAAUAUAGUGCAACGUACUGGGUACUAAUCACAAGAUAAUUAAAAGAUUUUUAAAAUAUUAAUUCAUAGAUCAUUACAGGCAGUGUGGUCUGACGGAGGAACACGAGUUUUGCAUGAUGACAGCUGUCUUUUACUCCAUCUGCUUGUUUUCCUGUCUAUAAUCCCAUGUGAAGAGAAUCCCAGCGUCUACAUCUGAGGCCCUUUGUGAACACGUGGCUGUGGUCAUCUGAUCCUCCCUGUCCUCCCUGCGACAGACUCAUAAAGGAAGGAUGAUCAAGGUCUCCUCCAGUAGUUGAACUCCCUUCUCAAGUUCAUGAUGCAGCUAAAGGAACCCAUUGUUUUAUCUGCUGGGUGAAUGGAAACAGAGGCCUUCAGAAGGAAAGAGCCCAGGGCGCAGGAAAGGAGCAGGUUCCACAAAAGCCUGGUUUGAGACUGUCCUUUCCCAGGCUGCGCGAUCCACCGCAGGUUACUGUCUGUCUCUAGGCCUGUUUCCUCCACUGUAGUUUGAAGAUGCUUUAGACCAGGAAGGAACUGGCAAACGUUAUCUGGAAAGGUCCUAUUGUAUUUUAGGCUUUGUGGACCAAGAGGCAAAAACAAGGGUAUUUGUAGGUACUUAUACAACAGGAAAGAAAAUACAUUUCCACAAGAUUUUUCAACUAUUUAAAAAUAUAAUAAAAACUGGCUGGGCACAGUGACUCACACCUGUAAUCCCAGCACAUUAGGAGGCCAAGGUAGGUAGAUCCCUCAAGGCCAGGAGUUCAAGACCAGCCUGACCAACAUACCAAAACCACUAUCUCUACUAAAAAUACUAAAAUUAGCUGAGUGUGGUGGCAGAUGCUAUAGUCCCAGCUACUCAGGAGGCUGAAGCAGGAGAAUCACUGGAAGCUGGGAAGCGGAGGUUGCAGUGAGCCGAGAUUGUGCCACUGCACUCCAGCCUGGGCAACAGAGUGAGUGAGACUUGGUCUAAAACAAAAACAAAAACCCAAAAAUGUAAUUAAAAAAAACCAUUGUUCCCUCAUGGGCCACACAAAAAGAGGCAGCCAGCUGGCUUUGGCUCCUGGGAUGUAGCUGCUGACCCAGCUGCAGUGCAGACCAGCGCCGUCCAGCAGCCCCUUCCGUAACGAUGGAAAUGCUUCUGUCUGCACCGUGACCACUGCACAGUUGAAAUGUAGUUAGUGUGACUGAAGAACUGAAUUUUUCAUGUUAUUUCAUUUCAAUUAAUUUAAAUUGAAAUAGGCACAUGUGGCUAGUGUCUAAUCACAGCUUUAAACCUUCUGUCCACUUCCUCUAGCCCUCAUAGAUUAUGUUUCUACAGUUUACUGCCUUCAAGAGCUUCUGUCUUACGAACUUGGCAAACAUAGACAAGUUUUGAAGAUUUUGUUUUCGUUGAUUCCUUUGGUCUGCAUUUAUUUUCUUCUUUUCUAGUUUUCUACAAUAUUCCCAGCCUGCCUGUUUCAUUGUAAUGCUAAAUUCCUAACUGUGCAGAGACAGAUGCCCCAAGGAGCCACAACAAACUGAAACUGGUACUACAGGGUUUUUAAUUUUUUUUUUCUUUUAGAGACAGGAUCUCGUUCUGUUACCCAGGCUGGAGUGCAGUGGCCUGAUCACGGCUCAGUGUAGCCUCUACCUUCUAGGCUCAAGCAAUCCUCCCACUUCAGCCUCCUGAGUAGCUGGGACUACAGGCAUGCACUACUAUGCCCAGCUAACUUUUUUAUUUUUUAUAGAGACGGGGUCGCACUACAUUGCCCAGGCUGGUCUUGAACUUUAGGCAUCUAGCAGUCCUCCCAUCUUGACCUCUCAAAGGGCCAGGCAUGAGCCACCAUGUCCAGGAGGAUAUUUUAAAUUUGAAGAAAACACACAACACUCAACAUUAUCAGACUGUGCAUGAACUACCAGUUCGAUCUACUUCUAGCUCAGAUCUAUCCAACCAUUCGCAUAGUACUACUAGCCCACAGCUUCAUCACUAGCUAGUGCUUCAUUCCUUUCAAUGACAUCAUACCUUUGCGAUGUCGACUUUUCAACAGUUGCAGUGAUAAAAAGCCAGAAAAGUGCCUGAAAACCAACAUAGAACAUUGAACAGUGUCCAAUCUGAGGCCUAAAUUCCUUAAAGUAUGACUUUUAUCCCUUUCUUUCUUGCUCCCUCAAAAACUGUAACUCUCUAUUUUUCUAAUCUACGGAGUUCAACAACUUGCUUUACAAAACUUCCAAUACCAGUUAGUCCAGACAAGAACUAAGCAACGUUUCCCUGCCAAAAUCUGGCUAAGAACCGGAGAUCCAGGCUGGAAGCUGCGCAAGGGGCCACCCCGUCCAUUCCUCUGCCGAUGAUCAAAGCAGCUCAAGGGCUUUGUCCAGCUUCAUGGGGAAAUCUCUACAAUAGGGCUGCCAUCGCCUCCGACCCCCAUCUCAAAGAGUGGGCCACAGACAAACACACUCCACCACUGGGUCAGUUUCCCGGAGGUUCUGGCUUUCAACCUAUCAUUUUCCUUGGCUGAGAUUUAGCCCAUUUUCUUUUUUCUUUUCUUUUCUUUUUUUUUUUUUUAGUUAGCCUCUUCUGUAUCAUCCUGGGGGGAAAUCUCUCUUCUCCACUAAAAACAAAAGAAGGCCAUAGGAUCCAUUUUUCUAAAAGCAAAAACUCCAGUCCUGUUAAAAUGUCUUUGAAUUCUGGCAACACCCAAUGAUGGGCUGAUGUUGGUAGAGGAGGUAUAAAUAUUUCUCUUAUAUCAAAACAAAGUGUUUAUAUUAAAAAAAAAAAGACAACUAGAUGACUUUCUUAUCCUGAGAUGUAAUGAUUCUGUGGACAUCUCUGAGGGAUUUCUCAGGCUCUCUUUGCUAUGUGACUGUUGUCGAAUUUUCUAAUCUUGUUGCACUUUCCCUACCUGCAUCUGGCUCAAUUCAGAGAACCCACUAUGGGUCCAGCAAUAUUCUAGGUGCUAGAGAUAUGAAGACAAGCAAGCCCCAGUCCUUGUCCUCAAGUAACUCAAAGAAGAGGAGUUCACAGCCCUUUACAGAAGGGACCUCCACCAGCCUCACCACACCUCUGUGCUCUCCACCAGCCAGACUGCGCUAUCAGCCCACAUUCCAACUCCAGAGCCAGUGAGUAAGGGGAUUUGUUCAAGGUCACCCAGCAGAUGGAGGCCGAGCCUUGGGUAACACUAACUCCUAACCUUCCAUCUUAUCGUUCAUGGCACUGUUCAUCUCAACCUGUGGGUUCCAGGGAAAUCUCAUAAAAGCAGUAUUUUAUGAGUAUUCAAGGUCAUCCCUUGUGGGACCCACCUGGAAUUCUCAAGAGGAUCUCACACAGGGGUUAAGAAAGAAAGAUCGUAUUUUUCCAAACCUAACAGCUUGUGUUUCUAACACCCCACCUUCUAGCUGCACAGAAUAAACCAAGGCUGGAUUCCUGGAGACAAUGUGGACUGAAUGCCACGUAUAAGCCAGAGAGUUCUGUGCUCUGAAGGAAGAUGACACUCAGCUUUCGGGUAACCCCAGAUCUCAGGAAUCAAGUCUCCAGUGAAGCACAGGUACCCUUUGCUCCCAAGAGCUCCUGGCUGCAGUUUGAGGCUUGCUUUGGAGAUUAAUGGUCUCCUCACUCGGCACUCUCCGCCUCAUUUAGUAAUCAGUGUAUCCUGUGAAAACACAAACAAGUGAAGCUCCUGCUCUUAAGAGGUCAACCCAGGGAAGGGGAGAUGAGGUCAGACUGCUCUCAGGCAGGGAAGUCAGGAGGACUUUUGCUCAGUCUUGGCACAGACGCUUCACAUCCAGAACAGAACAGAGGGCCUCCAUCAGGCAACCGUGAACUCUGACCCACCUGCCCUCAGCAAAUGUGCCCGGUGUGACAAAGUAACUAUGUCAUAAGGUUUGAGAAACAAAUGUGUUCUGUUUAUGCCUCUCCUGGUAAGAGGACAGAUGGAGUGGGAGGAAAGGGGCAGGAGGUGAGCACAGGUGUCUCCAGGUAUACUUACCUGGAGGUUCCACCCUCUGCAGUUUUCUCCCCUCCGUCUCUAUUAUUUAUUUUAUCUCAAAGUCAGCCGGAAGCCAGAGCGUCUGGAGGAUUUCACUUGGCUGCCAUGAGACUGCCCGCGUACCCCCUCGCAGUUGCCCAGGACGUACAAGCACUGAUAGUCACAUGGCCUUUAAAAGGCACCUCCUGCAUCUAGGGGCUUGCUUUUGCCUGGAGCCAAAGCCACUUUGAUGAUAUAAAAACGCCCAGGAGGUCCUGUGGGUCAAGGUCUCAAAUGGGAUGGAAGAAAGAACAAGAAGAGAUGCUGCAGUCCAAACGAGCAGACCAUGAGGUGCACCGCGACCAUCAGCCGCGGGGCUGCAGCAAGCUAUUUAUGGCCACCCCCCAUCCCCACGUAGUCGCUUUAGUACCAGUCACGCUGCACAGGGGCCUUUCAGUCAAUGAGGGACUGCAUAAAUGAAAGUGGUCCCAUAGGAUUCUAAUAUCAUAUUUUCACCUUUUCUAUAUUUAGAUAAACAAGUACUUGCCACUGUGUUCCAGAUGCCUACAGCAUUCAGUAUAGUAACCUGCUGUAAGGUUUGUAGCCUAGAGUGAUAGGUACCAUCUAGCCUGGGUAUAGUAGGCUAUGCCAUCUAGGUUUGUGUAAGUUCACUCUGUGAUGUUCUCACAAUGCAGGAGGAAAGGGGCAGGAGGUGAGCACAGGUGUCUACAGGUGUACUUACCUGGCAAUUCCACCUUCUAUUGUCUGUAGCCUAGAAGCAAUAGUCUAUACCAUCUAGCCUAGGUAUAGUAGGUUAUAUCAUCUACCUCGGUAUAGUGGGCUAUACUGUCUAGGUCUAUGUAAGUAGACUCUAUGAUGUUUGCACAUUGACAAGAUCACCAAACAACACAAUUCUCUGAAUGCAUCCCUGUUGUUAAGCAACGCACAACCGUACUUAACAUGUGCCAUAUAAUCAAAGCGGCCAAAGAGAACCAACCCUAUUUUCACCAUCUGCUGUUGUGAAAUAAAACGGUCACCUGGAAACGUUUACAAUAUGAUGACUAAAUAUGCAUUCUGGGACCCUUUCUACAAAGAAAUGGGACGGGAACCUCCCACUCGGCCCUUGCCCUCCCAGAGGCACAUUGCCCAGGGAUUCCUUUGUCUCCUUGGGGCCUUGCCAAGUCUGAUGUGCCAGUCACCAAUCUAGGCCAAGUUCACACUUAUCUCUCCACUCCUACCGAGGUGAAAGGGCCCUGGUGAAGAAACAGUCAGGCACACAGCUCUGCUCCCAAUCCAAGACACGUGUUCAGCAGAAAGCUCUCUGCUGUACUCUGGUCGCUUGACCCCUGCCCACCCCCAGCACCCUGCCCUGGGAGCUCCAGUGCUUUCUCCAAACCUGACACUUGCCUCCAGCUCCAGUCUGAGCUUCUCCCUCUGCUGACCAUGCCCAUCUUGUCAUGGUUCCUCCCCAGAAGCACAGAAGACUUUCUCAUCUCUCAGGACAGCCAGCCCUCCUCUUAGGCAUUAGAUCCCAAGGGACUUCCCUUCCAUGACCAUUCCUUCUCUGCAUCUGUAUCCCAGCCCUUGCUAGAGCCGUGGCCCUUCUGUUCUCUUCAUUUCAGGCAUGGGCAUGGGGGGAAGGCCCUCUGAGCUGCUUCCCUCCUUCCUUCUCAGACAACCUUUGGCUCAAGUCAUCUCUACCCAUCCCUUUCCUCACACUCUUGCCUUCCUUACCCUCAGGCAAUCCGGCCCACACCUCCUCGCAUUCCUGGAGCUGCAAGCUCUCAAUUGUCAGCAGUAAUCUUUGGCCCCAUCCAGUAAUAAUCUUUUCUCACUUUUCAUUUCACAAUUUGGUAACACCCAUCAGCACCUCCACCCCUCGAAUGUCACCAAUUUUAUUUCUAUGGCAUUGCCCUCAUGGGUUUAUUCCUACCUGGGUAUUUCCCUUCUGCCUCCUUUACUGCUCCUCUUCUAAAAGCAGGAGCAGAAUGAUCCAUCUCCAAGGCUCAUAUUAAUCCUCAGCUUUGUAUUUUUCUCUUCAUUCUCCUGCUCUGAGAUAUCCCAUUGAUCCUCACUGCUGAUAGAACAAAGUUCAUUAUCCCGGCCUUUAAGGCCAUUAUCAUUGCACAUGACCCUGCCAGCCAGCUCUACCUCCCACUUUUCCCUUCUACUCCAGCCAGGCUGCUUGUCUCCAGCCUGGACCACAGAUGUGAAUGUUUUUGUCAACUCCAAGGCUCUACCUGGGCCACGUCCCUUCUACUUCCCUCCUCUCUACUCAAAUCCUACUCCCGUUCCAAAGUCUAGCUAAACUCUCAUCUUUUCCCCACUUGAAUUAUUAAUGCACAGAAAACAGAGAAGGUGUCUCAUACUCUUGCAUAUCCCAUCAGUUUAUGGUAUACAUAUGGAAGCCAAACGUAUAAAAACUCGUUCAGCCAAACAUACACAAACUCAUUUAGUACAUAUCUACUUAAUCUAUGCAUCCUUUUGUCUUGACCAUCACAGCAACAAGCACAAUGUGAUACAAUUCUGUUCAAUUAUUGCUUACUUUGCAAACAUUGGUAAUUAUAGUGUCUAUUGUCAUACAUUAUGGUUUUUAUCUCAUCGAUUUAGGUGUACGAAUUUCAUACUAAAUAGACCCAUUUGUUUCCUGCUACUUGUUGGCAGGGAUUGGGGUAAAGUGUCACAGCUCGUAGCAGUGUUUCACACUUGGCCUGAAGCAAACGACUUACGCUGUGGUUUAUCUGAGAUGACAUUAGGCGG